AGAUCAUUUCAAAGAGGGCUGGGGGGACCCAACCCAGGAGCCUUCAACAUUGUGACCAAAGAUUGACUUCUCUAUUAGCUGUACUAAUCACUUGAGAGUGCUACAUUUUCCUGAUGGAGACAUAAGC
ensembl:snoRNA